AUUGAACGCUGGCGGCAGGCCUAACACAUGCAAGUCGAGCGGAGCGGCGGACGGGGGAGUGAUGCCUAGGAAUCUGCAUGGGAGUGAGGGAUAACGUCCGGAAACGGGCGCUAAUACCGCAUACUCUCAGAUGAGCCUGGGUCGGAUUAGCUAGUGGGUGGGGGAAAGGCCUACCAAGGCGACGAUCCGUAACUGGUCUGAGAGGAUGAUCAGUCACACUGGAACUGAGACACGGUCCAGACUCCUACGGGAGGAAGCAGUGGGGAAUAUUGGACAAUGGGCUAAAGCCUGAUCCAGCCAUGCCGCGUGUGUGAAGAAGGUCUUCGGAUUGUAAAGCACUUUCAGUUGGGAGGCGUUACCAACAGAAUAAGCACCGGCUAACUUCGUGCCAGCAGCCGCGGUAAUAC
rnacentral:rRNA from 1 species